rnacentral:tRNA from 1 species
GGUGUCGAAGCUUAGUGGUUAAGGCGAUAGACUAGAAAUAUUUUGGGAUAUUUCCGCGUAGGUUCGAAUCCUGCCGACGACA